rnacentral:rRNA from 1 species
UACGUAGGUGGCAAGCGUUGUCCGGAAUUAUUGGGCGUAAAGCGCGCGCAGGCGGCCUUUUAAGUCUGAUGUGAAAGCCCACGGCUCAACCGUGGAAGGUCAUUGGAAACUGAAAGGCUUGAGUACAGAAGAGGAAAGCGGAAUUCCACGUGUAGCGGUGAAAUGCGUAGAGAUGUGGAGGAACACCAGUGGCGAAGGCGGUGCUCUGGGCCGGAACUGACGCUGAGGAGCGAAAGCGUGGGGAGCGAACAGGAUUAGAAACCUUG